rnacentral:rRNA from 1 species
CAGCAGCCGCGGUAACACCGGCGGCUCGAGUGGUAACCGCUAUUAUUGGGUCUAAAGGGUCUGUAGCCUGCAGGUUAAGUCUCUUGGUAAAUCCGGCAGCUCAACUGUCGGGGUUCAGGGGAUACUGGUCUGCUCGGGACCGGGAGAGGUGAGAGGUACCUCAGGGGUAGGGGUGAAAUCUUGUAAUCCUUGAGGGACCACCAGUGGCGAAGGCGUCUCACCAGAACGGGUCCGACGGCAAGGGACGAAAGCUAGGGGCACGAACCGGAUUAGAUACCCGGGUAGUCCUAGCCGUAAACGAUACUCGCUAGGUGUCGGCCACGGUGCGACCGUGGUCGGUGCCGUAGGGAAGCCGUGAAGCGAGCCACCUGGGAAGUACGGCCGCAAGGCUGAAACUUAAAGGAAUUGGCGGGGGAGCACUACAACGGGUGGAGCCUGCGGUUUAAUUGGAUUCAACGCCGGAAAUCUCACCGGGGGCGACAGCAUGAUGAAGGCCAGGCUGAAGACCUUGCCUGAUCCGCUGAGAGGAGGUGCAUGGCC